rnacentral:rRNA from 1 species
CUAUGCCCGAAAGGGCGUGGUGAAGCUAACGCAUUAAGUCAUCCGCCUGGGGAGUACGUUCGCAAGAAUGAAACUUAAAGGAAUUGACGGGACCCCGCACAAGUAGUGGAGCAUGUGGUUUAAUUCGACGCUACGCGGAAAACCUUACCAGGGCUUGACAUCCCGGUGUUAGCCAUAGAGAUAUGGCGAGAUUGCCGGUGACAGGUGGUGCAUGGUUGUCGUCAGCUCGUGUCGUGAGAUGUUGGGUUAAGUCCCGCAACGAGCGCAACCCUUGUCUUCAGUUACCAUCAUUGAGUUGGGGACUCUGGAGAGACUGCCGAUGCAAAUCGGAGGAAGGUGGGGAUGACGUCAAAUCAGCAUGCCCUUUAUGUCCUGGGCUACACACGUGCUACAAUGGCCGGUACAGAGAGAUGCGAGAGCGCGAGCUGGAGCAAAUCCCACAAAGCCGGUCUCAGUUCAGACUGGAGGCUGCAAUUCGCCUCCACGAAGGCGGAAUUACUAGUAAUCGCGAAUCAGCAUGUCGCGGUGAAUACGUUCCCGGGGUUUGUACACACCGCCCGUAAUCACUAGUGAAUUCGCGGCCGCCUGCAGGUCGACCAUAUGGGAGAGCUCCC